UAACACGUGGAUAACCUACCCUCAGGUCGGGGAUAAACCCGGGAAACUGGGUAUAAUACCCGCUAGAUCUCGGAGGCUGGAAUGCAUCGAGAUUGAAAGCUCCGGCGCCAAAGGAUGGGUCUGCGGCCUAUCAGGUAGUAGUGGGUGUAGUGUACCUACUAGCCUACGACGGGUACGGGUUGUGAGAGCAAGAGCCCGGAGAUGGAUUCUGAGACACGAAUCCAGGCCCUACGGGGUGCGGCAGGCGCGAAAACUUUACAAUGCUGGCAACAGCGAUAAGGGAACCUCGAGUGCCAGGUUACAAAUCUGGCUGUCGUUGUGUCUAAAAAACACGAUAUAGCAAGGGCCGGGCAAGACCGGUGCCAGCCGCCGCGGUAACACCGGCGGCUCGAGUGGUAACCGUUAUUAUUGGGUCUAAAGGGUCUGUAACCGGCCGGAUAAGUCUCUUGGGAAAUCCGGCAGCUUAACUGUCGGGCUUUCAGGAGAUACUGUUCGGCUCGAGGCCGGGAGAGGUGAGAGGUACUUCAGGGGUAGGGGUGAAAUCCUGUAAUCCUUGGGGGACCACCUGUGGCGAAGGCGCCUCACCAGGACGACUCCGACAGUGAGGGACGAAAGCUGGGGGAGCAAACCGGAUUAGAUACCCGGGUAGUCCCAGCUGUAAACGAUGCGCGUUAGGUGUAUCGGUGACCACGAGUUACCGAGGUGCCGAAGGGAAACCGUGAAACGCGCCGCCUGGGAAGUACGGUCGCAAGGCUGAAACUUAA
rnacentral:rRNA from 1 species